AGUGAACGCUGGCGGCAGGCCUAACACAUGCAAGUCGAGCGGCAGCGCGUCCGACCACCCUCGGGUGGUCGGAUGGCGGCGAGCGGCGGACGGGUGAGGAAUGCAUCGGAAUCUGCCUCGUUGUGGGGGAUAACGUAGGGAAACUUACGCUAAUACCGCAUACGACCUACGGGUGAAAGUGGGGGACCUUCGGGCCUCACGCGAUGAGAUGAGCCGAUGCCGGAUUAGCUAGUUGGCGGGGUAAAGGCCCACCAAGGCGACGAUCCGUAGCUGGUCUGAGAGGAUGAUCAGCCACACUGGAACUGAGACACGGUCCCGACUCCUACGGGGGGCAGCAGUGAGGAAUAUUCGGCAAUGGGGGCAACCCUGACCGAGCAACGCCGCGUGGAGGAUGACGGUUUUCGGAUUGUAAACUCCUUUUCUCAGGGAAGAGCGAGGACGGUACCUGGGGAAUAAGUCACGGCUAACUACGUG
rnacentral:rRNA from 1 species